GGACUUAUAGUGAAGCGGUUAUCACCCAGCACUUUGAAUGCUGUAUCCCGGGUUCGAAUCCCGGUAGGUCCU
rnacentral:tRNA from 1 species